AGGAUUGUCUGUCAGGGAAGGUACCACGGUCAUGAAGAUGUUUCUCCAUUGCAUUUUGGAUGUGCUGACCCCUGCAAAUUCUCCAAAUUAGGGAAACUUGACUGUAAUUUGUGAAUGAGGAAAUUGUGUAUACACACCCCCACCUC
rnacentral:snRNA from 1 species